rnacentral:misc_RNA from 1 species
GAGUGUAAAUGUAUGUGUUUGGCUUGUGCUUCAACUUCAAGAAUGCCUGGAGAGCAUGGCCCCUCAUUGCCAUCAUAUCCAAUAAAAGUACUGCUCGAUGAUUACUUAGAUGGGGAGACCAAAUGUCUUCAAGAAUCUUUCUUUUUUAUAGCUAAAAACCUGAACCUUCUACUCUACAAUCAUGUCUUCAAAGUUAGCUUUUCUUGGUGGUUGGUGUUGCCCUUUGAUAGGUUACCAUUAUGGUAUCUUUUUAGCUUCACCGCUACGCCACAUUAAGAAAAUCAAGAGUUCCACACUGUUUGGUCAACUACAAAACAGUAGCUCAACAAGAUAGUUCACGUCAACUAUGGCUUGACUGAGCCCAAGGAUACGGCUUCUUAGGCCUAUUACCCAGUGGGCAGACUGCAUCAGGCCAGAAGAUAGAGCAAGGCAUUCAAUUUGUCACCGAACGAAGUUGCAUUUUCCACCAUACACCAAGAAAGAAGAGAAAAAGAAACAAACAGAUAAAGGGUUGGUAGAUUUCCAAUCACUUGUAUGAGGAGACAUUCACUU